CAAACUCUUUUUAUUAAUGUCGUCUGAGUACUAUAUAAUAGUUAAAACUUUCAACAACGGAUCUCUUGGUUCUGGCAUCGAUGAAGAACGCAGCGAAAUGCGAUAAGUAAUGUGAAUUGCAGAAUUCAGUGAAUCAUCGAAUCUUUGAACGCACAUU
rnacentral:rRNA from 1 species